GCUUACGGCCACACCGCCUGGUUCACGCCCGAUCUCGUUUGAUCUCGGGAAGCUAAGAUAGGAUGGGCCUGGUUAGUACUUGGAUGGGAGACCGCCUAGGAAUACCAGGUGCUGUAAGGC
rnacentral:rRNA from 1 species